ensembl:lncRNA
UGAUAGCUUCAGUCUUGAGCUCGAACACAUGUUAAUUGAGAAAAUGGCUACAUAUUGAUAGGAAAAAAGCACUAAAAUAUGAUCUUAAUUGAAUAGGUACAAACAUUAUACCUGGUAGCUUGCUAUCUGGAUUCUCACCAUCUGCCCGACAUAAACCAUCAUCCAAAAAGAGAUAAUGGUGAUGGCUUCCAUCUCAUGCAGAAAUUGGAGAGACUCUUGGAAUAAGGAAGGACUGGUAGCAGGAUGGGUACUGUUUGGAGAGCAAGAGGACCAUGAUGAGGUAGGUCAUGCUACAGGUCAAUGUGUAAAAAUAAAAGUUGGAACUGAAACAGAAGCCUAGUUCUUUGAGAACGUAUAAACAAUAAGCUGAAAUACCUUACUUCAAAAAGUAAUGAAGAUAAUAAUACGGGCUGCUAAACCUUGAUAUUUUCAAAAUAUUUCUAUAUGGUGGAGUUAGGAUCCUGGGAGUAAACAGAGUGUAAAUAAAAACUUCUGAAGGCUGAAACCUCCACCAAGUGCAUCAAACAUCUUUGAUUAGUUCUGUGGUUUUGUGCAUGGAUACUACUCUGCAGUGUAAUCGCAUUUUUCUCACUGAAACUCAAUUCUGUUCCUUAUUUUAAUAACCAAAGCAGAUAAAAAAUUAAUAAAACUAGCACUAUCUUACUGAACCUUCAUUACUCAUCUGUCUUUUCAAAUAUUUAAUGGAUAGACCAGAUGUCUGUAUUAUAUUCAUUCCAUCAAAAGAUUAGUCAAACUUUAUACAUUUCAGUUUGUAUGUGACUGUUUUGGUCUUUUCUCUUUUUAACAGUAUUUUCUUUCAAUCUGCACUUAUCUAUGAAUAUCUAAAAAUUUUUCUGUGAUGAAGAAUUGUUUGUUUCCUAUUGUUAUUCAUUGUUGUGCAGUUCAGUUUAGAGGUAAUACAAUUUAGAUUGGCACAUCUCUUUCUUUUCUCUUCUACUCAUUAGCAGGGAGUCUUUAAUCUCUUCUCUCUCAGCUUUCCCUAAUAAUCACAAUAUCUCACUUUCCCAGUGGGAUUCGGUCUAAGAUUGAGUAGAAAAUUAGACUCACAUCAGGCAGGCUGAGCUUAUAAUAAUGCUGAAGAAGUAAUAUAACAUAAAAAAUGAAACAUUUCUGUUCUACAUAUGGUCUUAAUUAUUGUAACUUUUAGAGUGUAAUUCCAAAAAAAUAAAAAUUAAAAAAAAAAAAAAAUGACUAAUGAAUUGAACUGAGGUGGAAAAAUUUCCUUUAUCUUUUAAAAUAAAAACAUUCUAGACCAA